GGCCCUUGGUGUAGUGGUUUGAGUCCUGGACUAUGAUUCCAGAGACCAGGGUUCAAAUCCCAGCUAAGCCA